GUCUCGGUGGCGCAAUUGGUAAGCUUGCCCUUCAUCAAAUCACCCAAUCACUCAGUUACUAAUUCAUCAUAAAGGUUAGCGCGUACGACUGUUAAUCGUGAGGUUGAGAGUUCGAUCCUCUCCCGGGACG
rnacentral:tRNA from 1 species